CGGCCGCGUCGACAGAGUUUGUAUCCUGGCUCAGGACGAACGCUGCGGCGUGCUUAACUACAUGCAAGUACGAACGAAUGAUGCCCACGCUUGUCUGGGCGGGAGUUAGUUGGCGAACGGGUAGGAGUAAUAACGUGAGUAACCUACGCCCUUCGUACUCUGGAGUAAGACCUCGGAACGUACGGGUCUAAAUACUGGAUACUACCUCUUACCGCAUGGUGGGUGGUGGAAAGGGUUUUACUGGUUUUGGAUGGGCUC
rnacentral:rRNA from 1 species